rnacentral:rRNA from 1 species
CACCAGCGCCACAAGUGGCAAUCGACAUUAUUGGGCCUAAAGCGUCCGUAGCCGGUUUUGUAAAUCUUCUGUGAAAUUGUCAGGCUUAACUUGGCAACGUGCAGGAGACACUGCAAAACUUGGGACUGGGAGGCGUCAGAGGUAUGUCUAGGGGAGCGGUAAAAUGUGAUAAUCCUAGACAGACUACCUGUGGCGAAGGCGUCUGACGAGAACAGAUCUGACGGUGAGGGACGAAAGCUAGGGGAGCGAUCCGG